AACGUUGAUCUUUCUGAAGCAUAGAACAUUAAGUAGUUUUCAGCUAACUUUGAAUAGUUCAAUCAAAUGAUAUUGCAUGUUGCUGGAAUCCGUUCUGUAGAUUCAGUUAAAGCACUGAUAUUAUCAACCAAAUAAACCGCACCUCAAAUUUGUAUAGUCAAGACCCUGAAAUUCUUUUUUUUUUUUUUUGGUAAUGCGUUCUGUAGAUUCAGUUAAAGCACUGAUAUUAUCAACCAAAUAAACCGCACCUCAAAUUUGUAUAGUCAAGACCCUGAAAUUUUUUUUUUUUUUUUUUUGGUAAUGACUAUGUAAUGAUGUACUGAUUAACAGGAAUGUCCCUAUAAGGAACUCUGUAUCCGGACUUCAUAUUCAGUUUAGUAUUGUCUUUUUCCAGUCAAGAGAACAGAGGAUCUAUAUAUAUACAGGACCCAAUUGUUCAACCUAUAAUCAAAUGGUAGGUUAUAUACCGAGCCUACUGUGGCCGAGCGCCUAUGAGCGAGCCCAGUUGGCCGAGAUAUAGAUCCUAGUAUGGUCGAGCGCCUAUGAGCGAGCCUACUACGGCAGAGCAGUUACAUAUAUC
rnacentral:lncRNA from 1 species